GUUUCUAUGGUGUUAUUUAGCACAUUGGAUUUUCGUUCCAAAGGAAUAAAAAUUUUAUUAGAAAUA
rnacentral:tRNA from 1 species